GACGAACGCUGGCGGCGUGCUUAACACAUGCAAGUCGAACGGAAAGGCCCUGCUUUUGUGUGGUUCUCGAGUGGCGAACGUGUGAGUAACACGUGAGUAACCUUCCCUUUACUUUGGGAUAACUUCAGGAAACUGGUGCUAAUACCGGAUAGGAGCUCCUGCUGCAUGGUGGGGGUUGGAAAGUUUCGGCGGUUGGGGAUGGACUCGCGGCUUAUCAGCUUGUUGGUGGGGUAGUGGCUUACCAAGGCUUUGACGGGUAGCCGGCCUGAGAGGGUGACCGGCCACAUUGGGACUGAGAUACGGCCCAGACUCCUACGGGAGGCAGCAGUGGGGAAUAUUGCACAAUGGGCGGAAGCCUGAUGAAGCAACGCCGCGUGCGGGAUGACGGCCUUCGGGUUGUAAACCGCUUUAGCCUGUGACGAAGCGUGAGUGACGGUAAUGGGUAAAGAAGCACCGGCUAACUACGUG
rnacentral:rRNA from 1 species